CACAAUAUAAAUAAAAUAAACUUAUGAAAUGAAAAUUACUGUUUUCCAGAAUAAAGAAUUACAAGAUAAACUGGACUACUUAAUGGAAAACCAACCAAAGACCAAUAUAGAAACCAGAGAUACUGGUGUAGAAUGUGAUCUCCCAUACAGUACAAGCACUGAGAAUGGAAGAUCUCCUGAAAGUGCAAGGCCAGUGAGGACAUACACCCCAUUCAAGAGAGUGUUGGAAUUUAGCACAAAGAACAGUACAUCUUGAGCAUUCAAGUCUUUCAUUGCUUUCUAAAUACAAACAAAUACAUUGCGCCUUUGCUGCUUGAUUAGGUAAUUUUUUAUCAAGUCAUAGAGAAGAACAGCAGCACGGAGUCUUGCUAAAUUUAUCCUGAAAGCAGCUUUUUAGUAACUUCUGUCUGAAGUUACUACUGACAUUAACUGUGGGGGGGAUAUGAAGGAAAUGGGAUGAGUGAAACAGCAGUCAAUAUUGCUUCUUCAGAAGCUAGCUAGUGCAAUGUGUCAUUUCAAAUGCCCGUAAGGAAGGAGUUGUAUAGCUGUACAGGGUUUUUUUCUUCAACUGUGUUGUAAUUGUUUGUGUAAUGACACUCUAAUAUAUUUUAUUUUCAAUGCUACUAGAAGCAGUAUUUGAAACUAUGCUGGCAGAGGGCGUUAGUACACACACUUAUGUACAAAGUGUGAGGGCUGUUGAGGCCUGCCAGAGACCUACUGUAGUUGAGGGCUCUCUUCACCUCAAAGUUCACUCAUAACCAGUACUCUUUUGCUUGGAGGGACAGAUGCAACUGGGCUGUUUAAAGCAAUUUUCUUGAUGCCUGCGGAUGAAUAUCAUGUUUGUUGCUCAAAACAGUAAGUGAUAGAGCAGAUUAUAAUAGAUUUUGCUUUGUUGGACUGAGACACUGGUUUGCAUUUCCUUGAUCAUGGGAUAGCAUGACUAUCAGUGAUACAUUCAAUAGUAAUUGUGUAGGAAAAUCCCUGUCACAUUUUUUUAUUUACUUUCCCAGCAGAGGAAAUGAAAUGAAGCAGAAUUUUGCCUACAGCAGCCUGCAGCUGUCCCUGCAAUUCUUACAUCAACAGCAAUCCUGAAUCAGGACUUUUGGAGUACUCUAUUUUUUUCCCAAAGCAAUGAAAAUCUUAUUCUUGACUUCAAAGUACCAGCAGGAAUGACUGCAUUUAGUACUGAACCUUAUUUAAACGUACACACAGGGCAUUAUUUUACAUCUUGUUUUGAUCUUCCAGUCUUAGUGAACUAAAAUGAAUCAUGAAGAUUUUCUUGUAGUUCUAUUACCAUGAAUGAAGGGCAUUUUUUUAUUAUUACAGUAUCUGAUAUUGAAAACAACUUUCAUUUUGUAUGAUUAAUAUCGUUCUUGCAUUGAAUGUCAAUCCCAGGAGGUACUCACCUUGCCACAGGGCUUUACAAAGUGAUUGCUUUUAUCUCCAGUCUGAUGGAAGUUCCUAAGUUCAGUACUGUCUGCUCAAAUUAAGUAUACUUAGUAGAGUUGUAUUUCAAACAAUAAUAUUGACCUCAUAAUCCGAAUCUUAUUCCUGCAUUAUUACAUGGGUUUCUGGAUUUGUUAGAUAACUUUGUUUAUUCUCUAUUUGUGCUGUUUAACUACUAAAUAAAGAAGCCUGUAUAGGAGGAUGGAUUGAAGGA
rnacentral:lncRNA from 14 species